AGCCUUGCGCAGUGCCAGUACCAUAGCCAAUGAGGUUUAUCCAAGGCACGAUUAUUGCUAAUUGAAAACUUUUCCCAAUAAGGCUAUGGAUAAAGAGAGCAAAAUAUCUUUCACAUAAAGUAAGUAUUGUAAAAAUGACAAGAAAAUU
ensembl:snRNA U4 U4 spliceosomal RNA